rnacentral:rRNA from 1 species
AGUGAACGCUGGCGGUAGGCCUAACACAUGCAAGUCGAACGGCAGCACAGUAAGAGCUUGCUCUUACGGGUGGCGAGUGGCGGACGGGUGAGGAAUACAUCGGAAUCUACUUUUUCGUGGGGGAUAACGUAGGGAAACUUACGCUAAUACCGCAUACGACCUACGGGUGAAAGCAGGGGAUCUUCGGACCUUGCGCGAUUGAAUGAGCCGAUGUCGGAUUAGCUAGUUGGCGGGGUAAAGGCCCACCAAGGCGACGAUCCGUAGCUGGUCUGAGAGGAUGAUCAGCCACACUGGAAGUGAGACAGGGUCCAGACUCCUACGGGAGGCAGCAGUGGGGAAUAUUGGACAAUGGGCGAAAGCCUGAUCCAGCCAUACCGCGUGGGUGAAGAAGGCCUUCGGGUUGUAAAGCCCUUUUGUUGGGAAAGAAAAGCAGCAGGUUAAUACCCCGAUGUUCUGACGGUACCCAAAGAAUAAGCACCGGCUAACUUCGUG